AGGACGAACGCUGGCGGCGUGCUUAACACAUGCAAGUCGAACGGGGCACUUCGGUGCUUAGUGGCGAACGGGUGAGUAACACGUGAGCAACCUGCCCUUGGCUCUGGGAUAGCCUCCGGAAACGGGGAUUAAUACCGGACAGGACCCUGGUCUGCAUGGACCGGGGUGGAAAGUUUUUCGGCCAGGGAGGGGCUCGCGGCCUAUCAGCUUGUUGGAGGGGUAACGGCCCACCAAGGCGACGACGGGUAGCC
rnacentral:rRNA from 1 species